rnacentral:rRNA from 1 species
AGAGUUUGAUCCUGGCUCAGGACGAACGCUGGCGGCGCGCCUAACACAUGCAAGUCGAACGAGAGAGAGGGAGCUUGCUUCCUCGAUCGAGUGGCGAACGGGUGAGUAACGCGUGAGGAACCUGCCUCAAAGAGGGGGACAACAGUUGGAAACGACUGCUAAUACCGCAUAAGCCCACGGCUCGGCAUCGAGCAGAGGGAAAAGGAGCAAUCCGCUUUGAGAUGGCCUCGCGUCCGAUUAGCUAGUUGGUGAGGUAAUGGCCCACCAAGGCGACGAUCGGUAGCCGGACUGAGAGGUUGAACGGCCACAUUGGGACUGAGACACGGCCCAGACUCCUACGGGAGGCAGCAGUGGGGAAUAUUGCACAAUGGGGGAAACCCUGAUGCAGCGACGCCGCGUGGAGGAAGAAGGUUUUCGGAUUGUAAACUCCUGUUGUUGAGGAAGAUAAUGACGGUACUCAACAAGGAAGUGACGGCUAACUACGUGCCAGCAGCCGCGGUAAAACGUAGGUCACAAGCGUUGUCCGGAAUUACUGGGUGUAAAGGGAGCGCAGGCGGGCGAUCAAGUUGGAAGUGAAAUCCAUGGGCUCAACCCAUGAACUGCUUUCAAAACUGAUUGUCUUGAGUAGUGCAGAGGUAGGCGGAAUUCCCGGUGUAGCGGUGGAAUGCGUAGAUAUCGGGAGGAACACCAGUGGCGAAGGCGGCCUACUGGGCACCAACUGACGCUGAGGCUCGAAAGUGUGGGUAGCAAACAGGAUUAGAUACCCUGGUAGUCCACACCGUAAACGAUGAUUACUAGGUGUUGGAGGAUUGACCCCUUCAGUGCCGCAGUUAACACAAUAAGUAAUCCACCUGGGGAGUACGACCGCAAGGUUGAAACUCAAAGGAAUUGACGGGGGCCCGCACAAGCAGUGGAGUAUGUGGUUUAAUUCGAAGCAACGCGAAGAACCUUACCAAGCCUUGACAUCCCAUUGACAGAGCAUGUAAUGUGCUUUCCCUUCGGGGCAGUGGUGACAGGUGGUGCAUGGUUGUCGUCAGCUCGUGUCGUGAGAUGUUGGGUUAAGUCCCGCAACGAGCGCAACCCCUAUCUUCAGUAGCCAGCGGUUCGGCCGGGCACUCUGGAGAGACUGCCAGGGAUAACCUGGAGGAAGGUGGGGAUGACGUCAAAUCAUCAUGCCCCUUAUGGCUUGGGCUACACACGUGCUACAAUGGCGUAAACAAAGGGAAGCGAGCCUGCGAGGGGGAGCAAAUCCCAAAAAUAACGUCUCAGUUCGGAUUGUAGUCUGCAACUCGACUACAUGAAGCUGGAAUCGCUAGUAAUCGCGAAUCAGAAUGUCGCGGUGAAUACGUUCCCGGGUCUUGUACACACCGCCCGUCACACCAUGGGAGUCGGCAACGCCCGAAGCCAGUGACCCAACCGAAAGGAGGGAGCUGUCGAAGGCGGGGCCGGUAACUGGGGUGAAGUCGUAACAAGGUA